UUCGGAAGGAAGAAGAAGGUAUGCUCCUUCAUCUCCUCCUCUUCAAGUUCUUUCUGUCAAGUGGCUAAGCUCUGACUGUGCAAUGAUAUUGCUCACAACAUUAUAGAGCUUGAUGAAAAUUUGAUGAAAUUAUGAGAGAGAUGUAUGGAUUUGAGUUGAGAGGAGGUUCUGACUCUGAGGAUUGAUCAAUGACUACGUUUUUAGUGGAUGAGUCAACAUUUGUUGGUCGUGAUGAGCAUAUUGGUUGUAUAUUGAGUAGUCUCUCAUCACGACCAAGUAAUGUUGACUCAUCAACUAAAAACGACCAAGAAAUGUUGACUCAUCAACUAAAAACGUAGUCGUCCUCAGAGGCAAAACUUCCACUCAACUCAAAUCCAUACAUCUCUCUCAUAAUUUCAUCAAAUUUUUCAUUAAGCUCUGUGAGCAAUAUCGUGGCGUAGUUUGAGCUUAGCCACUUGACGGAAAGAACAUGAAGGGUAGGGGAGGAAGGAGCAUAACUUCUUCUUCCAAACAGGAGGAGCCUUAUCAGCAUCUUCUUUUGCUUGUUUCUGAAUAGCUAAUUUGACCAUUGCAGUAUUUCACUCGUCCACCACAUCGUCCAUCUCGUAGCAAGCGUUGGUGAACUUUUCUAACCAAAGCCUCACAGUUUCUUCCUUAAAUUUCCUUCGCUCAGCAUCAUUUAGCACUGCCUUCACAGAGUCCUUUGGGGGCUGUACAUGCUUUCUGCACUUGUUUGAAUUGAAAAGCAUAGAGAGUGUUUGUGGGUAAUGGGGGUAUGAUUUAGCUUGUUGGUUGGUCAGGUACUUCUUUAGUCUUCACUUGCCUAUGGGCUCCCUUGUGCCAAACCAAAAUAGGUUGGCAUCUCCCAAGUGAAUUUAAAUUGAUGAAAUUUUAUCACAUUUUAUGUUAAUUUAGUUACACAAUUGAUUUCAUUAAUAAUUGAGAUCAUUUUUUUUAAAAGAAUCUUAGAAAUUUCCUUUGCUGCAGUGAACAAAUAUUUUUAUGUCCUUAACAAAUUUGUCAUGUGCAUGUUUCUUACACGUGGGUUGGUUUGUAUUAUCCUUUAAUAUACAAGAUAUAAUAAUUUAUAUUCCGGUGAAUUUUGUUGUAUGAAGGGCUGGUAAAACUCAUAGAAGAAACUGUUAGGUUUGAACAUGCUUUAUCUCCACAUAAGCCAAUUUAUUUGGUUGGGGAUUCCUUUGGAGGAUGCCUAGCACUUGCUGUUGCUUCUCGUAAUCCUGCCAUUGACCUAGUUCUGAUAUUUUCAAAUCCAGCAACAUCAUUUGGCAGGUCUCAUCUGCAACCAUUGUUUCCUAUCUUGGAAGCUAUGCCUGCCAGACUGCAUAGCACAAUUCUCUAUCUUCUUGGCUCAGUUAUGGUCUUAGGAAUACCGCAUGCCAAGUAAUCAGCUACUAUGGUGCAUGAAAUAUGAAUUCAGUUGCUGUGAUAUUUGGUGCUGCUGCUGUGAACUUAGAUGCUUGAUUUGAUAUCAAUUCUUUUUUAAUAUUAUUGCUAGUAUGUUCAUAAAGACUUGAUCAUCUUAGUUUAUUUCUGUAUUCUUACCCUGAGUGAUAUUUGAUACAUUUUUGCCACAUUCAGCAAAUCUCCAUUAUUGGGGAACCAAGCCUAUUGAGUCCUACAGUUGAAUAGUUUGAUGAGAUACAUUUAUUCAAUGUGUCUCACUUGCAUUACCAGAACAUUUCAAGUUUUGAUCACCUAUAUAUGGGUUCAAGGUUGCCAGUAAAAUACUAGCUUAUGCAUACAGAAGGAUUGCUGGUUGGGGUGGGUUUUAUUUUGUCUAGUCUAAGUUGAUACCUCAGUUCAUUUGCCUUAAAAUGUUUAUUUAUUUUUUUUAUGUUAUUUUUCAUUUAUAGUUUAAAUUACUUAUGGAAGCAGCCCAAGUAAUAUUGUGGUGUCAGGGCUAUUGUAAGAUGUCAAUAUGAAUUUUGCAUCACUCCACUUUGUUUUCAGGGUUUUGAUGAUAUUAUGCCGUGGGACACUCUUCUUUGGAAGCUGAAGCUGCUUAAAUCAGCUGCUGCUUAUGCCUAUUCCCGUCUCCAUGCUGUUAAAGCCAAAGUUCUUGUGUUGGCUAGGUUUUUCUUCUCUCUAAAUUUUAACUGAUUACCAGCUGGAUUUUACUUGCUGAGAUGAAGAAUUUACUUUUAAAGUGGGAAAAAUCUUAAUUAUUAUAAAGAUUGAUGAAGUAUUUGCAUUUCAGUGGCAAGGAUAACAUGCUUCCUAGUAGAGAUGAAGCCGAACGAUUUUAAGAACUCGUUACAAGAUUGUGUUGUUUGUCACUUCAAGGACAAUGGGCACCCUUUUAUUUGUAUGUGAGAAUAUGUAAAUCCAUCAUAUAAUGUCAUGGUUAGCUCUCAUCAUCACUUUCACGUUAGCAAAGCUACUAAUGACACCUAGAUUUUCAUGAGCAUUGACUUCCUCUGAUUUGGUACUCUCAGUCAUAUUGACCAAAUAUUUACUUUUGUUGCAUUGGUUUAAAAUCACCUAAUCCAACCAGGUUGAAUCCCAACUUUACUAACAUCCUUUUCCAUCUGUUCUGGCUUCAGUUUGUCCAAUGGAACAUUGGUGGACUACUUUUUUCAUUUGAUAUAUGUAUGGUGCCAACACUGAAAUGCUUCAAAAUUUCUUUUUCUUUUUUUGGAUAAUUCAAUAGUUACAAUGGGAGAGGGAGAUUUGAACCCUGGAUGUCUCGUUUGGAAGCACUAGGAAGUGCCAAUUGAGUUACAAUACUAUUGGAACUUCAAAAUUUCUUGGAUAUGGUUCAAUCCAUUUGGAGCCCAGGACCAUGUUUAGAUGAUGUAUUUUAAAAUUUCUGUAAAUUUAUGAUUACAUAUCA